AAUAGAGUCAUAUCAACAUGCACUACAAAUCAGAUUAAAACUGUUUGGAGAAUAUCACCUUGAUACAGCUAAAACUUAUCGCAACAUUGGAGUCACACAACAUAGUAAACAUACCAUGAAAGACUACAAAUCUGCCUUACAGUCAUAUCAGCAUGCUCUUCAAAUCAGAUUAAAACUGCUCGGCGGAAAUAAUUCCGACACCGCUGAGAGCUUCCAGGAUAUUAGACUGGUAAAAGAUGACAUGAAAAAUUAUAAGUGAGCAUUAGACUGGAACGAAAGAGACUUUCAUUGUGGGUGGAAUAUGCGUA